rfam:Colletotrichum gloeosporioides Cg-14 contig02389, whole genome shotgun sequence.
UCCUCGAUAGUCUAGUGGUGAGGAUAUCGGCUUGUCAUUGAACACAAUGCGCCGGGGACCGGGGUUCAAUUCCCCGUCGAGGAG